UACAGAGGGGGGCAAGCGUUCGUUCGGAAUUACUGGGCGUAAAGGGCGCGUAGGCGCCUGUUAAGUCGAACGUGAAAUCCCCGGGCUCAACCGGGGAACCUGCGUCCGAUACUGGCAGGCUUGAAUCCGGGAGAGGGAUGCGGAAUUCCAGGUGUAGCGGUGAAAUGCGUAGAUUAUCUGGAGGAACACCGGUGGCGAAGGCGACUUACUGGAC
rnacentral:rRNA from 1 species